rnacentral:tRNA from 2 species
GAGCGCGUAGCUCAGAUGGUAGAGCGCUUCCUUGACGCGGAAGAGGUAGCAGGUUCAAUUCCUGCCGCGCUCACCA